CUGUAUUCUGGAUCGCUGGCCCUUCCAGCAGCUGACUAACAGAGUUGUAGAAAGACAAUUUCAGCAUUACAGAAAAGUUAAAAAGCUGGUCUUAGUUCACCAAAUGCUUGUCUUUUGUAGCGAUAUACAAGAUGUAUAUUAUGUUCAAAUCGCAUUAUCUCUAUUUCUCAUUUUAUAAAAUUUAUCCACUUUGACUUUCCAGUGGUGCAGAUGUGCUCGUUAUAUAUCUUCCCUUAGUUCUGAAUUAGCUAUAUUUCUACUGUUUUUUGGUUGAAUUUCAUUUUCGCAAUUGUGGACCAGGAUAUUCGGUUUAUUUGCUAAUCAGUGUGUUCAUUCUAAUGCAGAGCAUAGACAUGUUGGAUCCACUAACUUCAAUCUACUAAGUAGUAGAAGUCAUACAAUUUUUACACUGAACCUCAUCGAUCUGGCUGGUUCAGAGAGCUCAAGGGCAGAAACAAAUGGAGUACGCUGGAAGGAAGGAUCUUAUAUCAAUAAAAGCUUGCUAACUCUUGGAACGUAUGCGACUUAGCUCUGCAGCGCCCGACCAUCAUGCGCCGAUGUGUAUCUAGCAUUUCGAUGACAAGAGAUGACAAAGAUUUUGAAGGAUGAUCUGAAGCACCCAAAAGAAGUAAAGGACAGGUCAGGAGGGAACAAGAAGCUUCGUUUAUCAUUGAUGUUAUGUGUGAUCAAUAAAAAC